rnacentral:lncRNA from 1 species
UUUGUGUUAAACUCUGAGUUUGAAUCCUUAAACUGAUUUUGUCUUCAUGUUUGUUGCUGAGAGCUGAUUGUUGUGGCGUUUCUUCACUGCACAGAGAUCAGCUGUCAAUCAAACAUUGUGGGCGGUACUUUGACAUCUUCUCAUUAGUUGUCCUGUAAAUGUUUGAGUGUGUUUAGGUGGCGCUCCUUCCUGUGUCUGUUCAGCCAUAGAGGUUAUCACUGCUCAUGAUGGCUUUUGUUUAGCUGAUCUGACAUUUCUCUGCUCUCUAAAUACAUAUAUAUAUAUAUAUUAUAUUUGUGUUGAUGUAUUUGUAUGUUGUUGUUUCUCUUUCACUGCAUAGAUCCUUAAAUUUAAAGCAGCAGACCUUCCUUUAUUGUAGAUAGUUUGUUCUUAUCAUUUUGUACAUUUCUAAAGAAAUCUGUAAUUACAUUUAUUACAUUAUUUUAACAUUACAAUUUGCUAGAGGACAUUUGUAGUUGUUGUCUAUGUACAAAUGAGGAAAUGUGAGGUGUUACACAAAUGGAAUCAACAUGAUCAUAAUCAAUAAAGAGAUAAACAGCUGCUGUGCUCAAGAGGUUUGUAUUUGAUCCUCAAUUUGAAACAAAGAAAUGCAUCUAAAAGAGUGGUGAUCAGGGUUCCUGUAACUGUGAUUGAUUUACUGCAGCAUCACAGGUAAAGUUACUCCACCUUUGUCCAGUACUGAAGUAUUAAGCAUCAAUGACAACGUCAGAUUGAUUUAGUAAAUCAAGCAUCAAACUAUUUUAAACACAGCCUCCUGUAGCUUCAGUUACUAGCUGAGUAAAAAGUAAAGCACUCUGUGUGGGUCCACAUUUACAUGAAGCACCGACGGAGCUCAUUGGAUUAAAAAAGUCCGUUUCAAUUUAAAGUGUGAGCCGCUGUGAGGUGGAAGAACUGCCUUUAUGAGUGGAAGUGAAGCUGUGGCUAACUGUGGGGGGAAACUGAGACUCUUGUGAGGGUAAAGAGCAGCAGGUCGGUGACUUUGUGCUGAUUUUAUACUUAAAUAUCUCAGUGGUCCCUGAAGGCAACAGUCUGUGUGUUCAUUUAGUCACAAAGCAGAAUGUGAUAAUAAAAUGUUGUCUUAUAGA